GAAUGUAGCUCAGUGGUAGGGUGCCUGCUCAGCAGGUAUGAGGUUCUGGGUUCAAUCCCCAGCAUAAGACA
rnacentral:tRNA from 1 species